rnacentral:rRNA from 1 species
GGGGAAUUUUGGACAAUGGGCGCAAGCCUGAUCCAGCCAUACCGCGUGUGUGAAGAAGGCCUGCGGGUUGUAAAGCACUUUUAGUGGGGAAGAUAAUGACGUUACCCACAGAAAAAGCACCGGCUAACUCCGUGCCAGCAGCCGCGGUAAUACGGAGGGUGCAAGCGUUAAUCGGAAUUACUGGGCGUAAAGCGUGCGUAGGCGGCUCUUUAAGUCGGAUGUGAAAUCCCCGGGCUCAACCUGGGAACUGCAUCCGAUACUGGGGAGCUAGAAUGUGGGAGAGGGAAGUGGAAUUUCCGGUGUAGCGGUGAAAUGCAUAGAGAUCGGAAGGAACAUCAGUGGCGAAGGCGACUUCCUGGACCAACAGUGACGCUGAGGCACGAAAGCGUGGGUAGCAAAC